CGGAAGGCGGCUUCCUCUGGACACGAGCACAGGUGAGCUGUGUAGACGGGGCCUGCGUUAGCAAACAGCCCGCCCACCACGCUCCCUCCUCGUCCCAGGCGGUGAACUGCAGGGCGGGCGCACCUGUCUUGCUCAGCAUGUUGGAGGUGCCAGGCAGAAAAUGGGGUGAGGCCUGUGUUCGUGGGGCCCGGGGAUGUUGCCAGGUAGAAAAUGGGGUGAGACCUGUGUUUGGAAGGCCCGGGGGAGGUGCCAGGUAGAAAAUGGGGUGAGACCUGUGUUCGUGGGGCCCGGGGGAGGUGCCAGGUAGAAAAUGGGGUGAGACCUGUGUUCGUGGGGCCCGGGGGAGGUGCCAGGUAGAAAAUGGGGUGAGACCUGUGUUUGGAGGGCCCAGGGGAGGUGCCAGGCAGAAAAUGGGGUGAGACCUGUGUUUGGAGGGCCCAGGGGAGGUGCCAGGCAGAAAAUGGGGUGAGACUUGUGUUCGUGGGGCCCGAGGGAGGUGCCAGGUAGAAAAUGGGGGCGGGCCCGUGUUUGUGGGACCCGGGGGAGGUGCCAGGUAGAAAACGGGGUGAGACCUGUGCCCGGGGGAGGUGCCAGGUAGAAAAUGGGGUGAGACCUGUGUUCGUGGGGCCCCGGGGGAGGUGCCAGGCAGAAAAUGGGGUGGGACCGGUGUUUGUGGGGCCCGGGGGAGGUGCCAGGUAGAAAUGAUGUCGAAACCAGAGCAGGUGACAAGGAGAACGGGGUGGGGUCUGUGUUGGUGGGAGUCUGGUUUGGGAAGCAGCACAUGGGGCGCCUGCAGGGCUGCUCAGAGGCCUGGCGGAGGUUCACACGGUUGAGCUCUUAGAUAUUUAAUAUAAAACAUUGGAUUGGGGGAGUUCCCAUUGUGGCUCAGCAGUAAUGAACCCAACUGGUAUCCGUGAGGACACGGGUUCAAUCCCUGUCCUCGCUCAGUGGGUCAGCGAUCCUGUGUUGCCAUGAGCUGUGGUGAAGGUCACAGAUGCGGUUCGGAUCUGGCAUUGCUGUGGCUGUGGUGUAAGCAGACAGCUGCAGCUCUGAUUCGACCCCUAGC
rnacentral:lncRNA from 1 species